AUUGAACGCUGGCGGCAGGCCUAACACAUGCAAGUCGAACGGUAACAGGAAGCAGCUUGCUGCUUUGCUGACGAGUGGCGGACGGGUGAGUAAUGUCUGGGAAACUUCCUGAUGGAGGGGGAUAACUACUGGAAACGGUAGCUAAUACCGCAUAAUGUCGCAAGCCCAAAGAGGGGGACCUUCGGGCCUCUUGCCAUCGGAUGUGCCCAGAUGGGAUUAGCUAGUAGGUGGGGUAAAGGCUCACCUAGGCGACGAUCCCUAGCUGGUCUGAGAGGAUGACCAGCCACACUGGAACUGAGACACGGUCCAGACUCCUACGGGAGGCAGCAGUGGGGAAUAUUGCACAAUGGGCGCAAGCCUGAUGCAGCCAUGCCGCGUGUAUGAAGAAGGCCUUCGGGUUGUAAAGUACUUUCAGCGGGGAGGAAGGGAGUAAAGUUAAUACCUUUGCUCAUUGACGUUACCCGCAGAAGAAGCACCGGCUAACUCCGUG
rnacentral:rRNA from 1 species